GAACCGUCAACGGCUGAAAACGUCCCGGAUGACUUGUGGAUAGGGGUGAAAGGUCAAUCAAACCCGGUGAUAGCUGGUUCUCCCCGAAAUAUAUUGAGGUAUAGCCUCGGGAAUUGAUUAGCGGAGGUAAAGCACUGACAGAGCUAGGGGUCCUACCAGAUUACCAAACUCUAUCAAACUCAGAAUGCCGCUUAAUCGUAUCCCGGGAGUCAGACGGCGGGUGCGAAGGUUCGUCGUCNAAAGGGAAACAGCCCAGACCAACAGCUAAGGUCUCCAAAUCCAUGCUCAGUGGUGAAGGUAGUGGAACCGUUUAGACAGCCAGGACGUUNGCUUAGAAGCAGCCAUCGUUUAAAGAAAGCGUAAUAGCUCACUGGUCUAAUGGCUCUGCGCCGAANAUGUAACGGGGCUAAGCAUGGUACCGAAGCUUUGGCAAUCCCCUUUGGGGAUUGGGUAGGGGAGCGUUCGCUGCGGGCUGAAGGUGUGCCGGAAGGCAUGCUGGACUGCAGUGAAGUGAUUAUGCUGACAUGAGUAACGAUNAAAUAUGUGAAAAACAUAUUCGCCGAAAACCCGAGGUUUCCUGGGUUAAGGUAAUCUUCCCAGGGUUAGUCGGAUCCUAAGGUGAGGGUGAAAGCCGUAACCGAUGGAAAACAGGUUAAUAUUCCUGUACUUGUUGUGUAGCGCGAUGGAGGGACGCAGGAAGAUAGGCGGGCCGGGUGUUGGAUAUCCCGGUGCAAGCGUGUAGGAAUAUCCGGUAGGCCAAUCCGCCGGACGAAUCUGAGACGCGAGUCCGUGGGCGCAAGCCCUGAAGCCGUUGAGUCUAUGCUGCCUAGAAAAGCUCCUAAGUUUAUCCACAGCAAUCCGUACCGCAAACCAACUCAGGUGGGUGGGAUGAACAAUCCAAGGCGCUCGAGAGAACUCUGGCCAAGGAACUCGGCAAAAUAACCCCGUAACUUCGGAAGAAGGGGUGCUCUCUAGGGUGACAUGUUUAACAUAUGAAGCCCCGGGGAGCCGCAGUGAAUUGGUGGUGGCGACUGUUUACUAAAAACAUAGGUCUGUGCGAAGUCCUAAAGACGACGUAUACGGACUGACGCCUGCCCGGUGCUGGAAGGUUAAAAGGAGGGGUCAGCGCAAGCAAAGCUCCGAAUUGAAGCCCCAGUAAACGGCGGCCGUAACUAUAACGGUCCUAAGGUAGCGAAAUUCCUUGUCGGGUAAGUUCCGACCUGCACGAAUGGCGUAACGAUCUCCACACUGUCUCGGCCAGAGACUCGGUGAAAUUGCAGUCGCGGUGAAAAUUCCGUGUACCCGCAGAAAGACGGAAAGACCCUGUGCACCUUUACUAUAGCUUGACAUUGGAUUUUGGGCCUGCAUGUGUAGGAUAGGUGGGAGGCUGUGAACCCUGUACGCCAGUAUGGGGGGAGCCAUCCUUGAAAUACCACCCUUGCAUGUUUAAGAUCCUAACUUCUUCCGGUUAUCCCGGAGAAAGACAGUGUCUGGCGGGUAGUUUGACUGGGGCGGUCGCCUCCUAAAGUGUAACGGAGGCAUGCAAAGGUUCCCUCAGCCUGAUCGGAAACCAGGCGCUGAGUGCAAACGCAUAAGGGAGCUUGACUGUAAGAGAGACAUCUCGAACAGGAACGAAAGUUGGCGUUAGUGAUCCGGUGGUCCCGAAUGGAAGGGCCAUCGCUCAUUGGAUAAAAGGUACGCCGGGGAUAACAGGCUGAUCGCAUCCAAGAGUUCACAUCGACGAUGCGGUUUGGCACCUCGAUGUCGGCUCAUCACAUCCUGGGGCUGAAGCAGGUCCCAAGGGUACGGCUGUUCGCCGUUUAAAGUGGUACGCGAGCUGGGUUUAAAACGUCGUGAGACAGUUUGGUCCCUAUCUUCUGUGGGCGAAGGAGAAUUGAGAGGGCCUGUCCCUAGUACGAGAGGACCGGGAUGGACGCACCCCUGGUGAUCCUGUUGUCGCGCCAGCGGCAUAGCAGGGUAGCUAUGUGCGGAAGGGAUAACCGCUGAAAGCAUCUAAGCGGGAAGCCUGCCUCAAGAUAAGUUCUCCC
rnacentral:rRNA from 1 species